rnacentral:misc_RNA from 1 species
GUGGAAAUGUGAAAGGGAAAAAGGGUGGAAGAGACCAUAAAGAUAAAGAGGGAAAAAUGAAAGUGUUUAGAAGGGCCAAUACAUACACAUGAUUAAUGGGUAGAGUAAAGAUGAAUAAUGGGCAAGGAAGAAGAGUAACUACUAAUUUAUUAAGCCCAAUCAAAUGUAAACAGUAAUAACAGACCAUAAUAAUUAAGAGUUAGUACGAUAGUGGGUAAGGCUUUAUUUUUUAGUAGGGCCAAUAACCGAAAUUAAAUGUAUUUUUCAUUGAUAUUUUAUGGGGGCAUUGGAGGCAAGAGCCUCCAUUGCCGCCAGUGUGAAUCCGCCCCUGGAUUUGGAUACUCUCGAAUCCAAAGUCUCUCAGUUUUUACCGCUGCCCAAAGCACUAGGCCUUUUUAUAGGACUAACUGUUACCCUUGUUAAGUACUUUGUCUCAUUUAUAUUGGCAGCAUAUAAAGUUUUGGUAGGGCCUUAUGCAUCGUGCAAGCUUCUCAGUCUUGACUUGACAAUUUAC